UCUAAUAUGGCAGAAAUCACUAUGCAGUGAAUUUAAGAUUCAUUCAUGAAUAAUUAUAUUUUAUUAGAA
rnacentral:tRNA from 1 species